rnacentral:lncRNA from 1 species
CUUUUAUUCCAAGUAGUUGCUGAACCAUGAAAAAUGAGGUCAAGGUCAAUGGACAUGUGACAGAUGGAAACUUCACAUCAUAAGGCAUCCAUGUCUUGUGCUUUCUGAAAUAUAAAGCUUUUAAGAAGUUAUCCAACACCGCUGGCAUCACUAUACCGGUCAGGCUUUCAGCAACUGGCCUCCAACUCAAAAACACAAAAACUUGAC